ensembl:lncRNA novel transcript
AGCCCUGUUCCUGCUCCGGCUCCUGCGGGGAUGGAUGCUUCACGCAGUAAGCGACCUAAGUCGCGGAAGCGUAGACACCCGGCUUUUCCCGCGUGCUCUAUCGGGCUCCCCUGGACACGGAGGGUGGAGCAGAAAGAGCAGAGGGGCCGGUGGGAGCCAUGGGGAGUCCGCCUAGCUCCAGAGGACACCUUACCUGGAUCCGCCUUUGUAGCCUCCUCCUGGCUCUGGGGGCUGUCCUGUGGGGUCCGAGUAGCUGAAAGACAGCCCCUCCAUAAGCUGACAAGUACCUGCCGGAAAAACUGCCUCUUUUCCCUCCCGUGCUUGGAGCAGGCAUUGCUGACAGAUCACAGCUGCUGGGCCCAAAGGUCCCUUUGCACGCGGGACUUCAGGAAGUUGCUGCUGACCUAUGGGAGUUGGUGCAGAAAGAUGAAAUUUGUUAUCCUUGGCUGUAUCAACUCUCUCUCCUCUCCUUGGUGGUGAUAGUUUUGUUCUUAAAAGCCUCUUGUGAGAGAAUUUGUGGAUGAAGAACCUGUAAGAUCACAAGUGAAACAAUUUAUUGAUGUCAAUAGAUUUAUACACGUUCAUUAAGAAUCAAAACUAAACUAAAACAUCAGUCUGACUAAAGAGACCACCACAGAUAUUUCAUAUGCUGUACAUCAGUAACAAAGGGUACCAAAUAGUUAAUAUCCAUGUACUAGUCACAUGAGAAAUGUUUUAGGGUCAUUGACCAGUGUAGUCAGUACAGUGGUCCCAUGGUAUUUGUGGGGGAUUGGUUCCAGGAAUCUCUUGGACACCAACUCCGUGGAUGAUCAGACAAUAUAAAAUGUGGGUCAGGUGCGGUGGCUCAUACCUGUAAUCCCAGCAUUUUGCGAGAAUCACUUGAGGCCAGUUCAAGAUCAGCCUGUGCAACAUAGCAAGACUCCACCUCUAAAAAAAAAAAAAAAAAAAAAAA